rnacentral:rRNA from 1 species
AAUAGAUACCCAGGUAGUCCUAGCCGUAAACGAUGUAGACUAGGCGUUGGUGGAGUAAAAUUCAUCAGUGCCGCAGCAAACGCGAUAAGUCUACCGCCUGGGGAGUACGGCCGCAAGGUUAAAACUCAAAGGAAUUGACGGGGCCCCGCACGAGCAGCGGAGCGUGUGGUUUAAUUAGAUGCUACACGAAGAACCUUACCAGGGUUUGACAUAUAAGUGGUAGGGAAGGGAAACCGGACCGACCCUUCGGGGAGCUUAUACAGGUGCUGCAUGGCUGUCGUCAGCUCGUGUCGUGAGAUGUUCGGUUAAGUCCGCUAACGAGCGCAACCCUCGCUGUGUGUUACAAGUGUCACACGGUACUGCCGGUCUUAAACCGGAGGAAGGUGGGGAUGACGUCAAGUCAGCAUGGCCUUUAUAUCCUGGGCUACACACACGCUACAAUGGGUAGGGACAAUUGGUUGCGAAACCGCGAGGUGGAGCCAAUCCGUAAAAACUACCCUCAGUUCAGAUUGCAGGCUGCAACUCGCCUGCAUGAAGUCGG